CGAGUAGUUGGGGAGUCUGGUACCCCGCUUGCUUUGGGAGCAAGAGAACUCGUAGGUUCAAAUCCUACCUACUCGA
rnacentral:tRNA from 1 species